UACAGAGGGUGCAAGCGUUGUUCGGAAUUAUUGGGCGUAAAGCGCGUGUAGGCGGCUUUGCAAGUCGGGUGUGAAAGCCCUCAGCUCAACUGAGGAAGUGCGCCCGAAACUGCAGAGCUUGAGUACCGGAGAGGAUGGCGGAAUUCCCCAAGUAGAGGUGAAAUUCGUAGAUAUGGGGAGAAACACCGGUGGCGAAGGCGGCCAUCUGGACGGAUACUGACGCUGAGACGCGAAAGCGUGGGUAGCAAACAGG
rnacentral:rRNA from 1 species